AAACAUUCAUCACUUCUGCUGGAGCAUAGCUCAUGGUACACAUUAGGAAAUUUCCAGUAGCUGCAAGAACAAUACAAACAGAAAUCAGUAAAGGUCUCUGUGUUACAAGUGCAUCUGAAGGACGCUCUGUGAGGCAACCCCCCAGGAGCUGCCAAAGCAGGUUUCUGUCAGAAGAUGAAAGUAAGCUUCUUCUCUGAAAAUGAACUGCUUUGUAGGAAAAAGGAAGCAAAAACAUUUUUCUUCCCAUCAGCUCAUUUCCUUCCUAAACUAACUCCAUCAUUUCCUAAGCCUACCUAGCACCUUUCUAUUUAAUAAGUUUAUCUGCAAAGUGCUUAAUUCUGCUGCUUCUCCAAUUCUCGGAGGUAGGCAAUCUAAGACUAUUUGCAAAUACCCUUUGAACUGAAGUGAUGAGAGACUGCAAUUAAUCAAAAGGUUGAAUCUAUAGAAAAGCCCUAUUAAAAUCUUGGGAACUGCUGAGGAGGUAAUGGCUAACUGUUCCCAAGGGGAUGAAAAAUAAUAAAGAAACAAAAACUAUUUAGGAAUCCUAUUAACAAAAUGUAUCAGACUGUAUAUGAAACUGUAUAAAAAGAUUUCAAAGCCAAAUGAGGCUUUGAGGAAAAAAAAAAACUUGGUAUUGUUUUGGUUUCUUUGUAUAAAUGCAUAGUCAGGCAUUCAUACUUCAACUGAAUGUGUGUCUUAUUUUCUGCCUGACCUCCAUCUCAUUCAGAAAGAUUGUCCCCAUAAAGUCAUUCUCCUGCCUUUCAGCAGGAUAGUUUUUAUCCUACUCUGUCAGUACCUUGAGAAAAGUACCCCUAAGGAAAUCAAUGAAAGAAAGGGCAACUGCUUGUAUUUUGGAGCACAGGGCUUAAAAUAUCUCCUCCGCCACUGUUUGCCAAUGCCACCAGCGAAGCAAGGAUAACAGCAGCUUCUUCCUGCCUUGUUCAGUGUGCAGGAUUGUUAUUUAGAAUUCAGUAUCUGCAGCAGCAGGGUGCUGACAUCCUCUGUCAUUUUCAGAUGUUGCAUGGAACAUAAGGAGCAGCCAGUGUGUUGGGGGAGGGCUAGGAGGGGGUGUGGUGUCAUGAGCCAUUGGGUUGGAGGGAGUCACGAAGAAACCUGUCCCAAGAAUGAGGAGCAACAAAGAGCUGGACAGAGGUACUAUUUCAACUCCUGCCUCCCACUUUUGAAAAGAGAGAAAGUAAGGAUUUAAGGACUUCCUAAACCACAUACGAGACAAAACAUACUGUGAAAAUGAAUCAUGUUUUCUUCUACCUCAUUAGACAAGGAGAUUUUCUUGGAAAGAAAUUCUUGAAAAUAUCAUUGCAGGAUAAUUGCUCUCAUGCACAGCUUUCUCUUUCAGUUGUCCAAAAUCCUGUGCAGGCUCUAUACCACUGUCUUGUUCAAAACUGUAUUUUCUUCUAACCUUAUUGUAACUUCUGCUUUUUACUUUCUAGGCUGUAACUGAAGUCUGAAAGCACUCAGCUGUUAUGGUGGGAUCUGUGUUAAACACACAAAAAAGAAAUCACUGCGAUCUCUCAAGACAGACUGAUUGAUAUCUUAGACUACCUGACAAAUAACACGUUGUCUCAAAGCAAGGCCUUUAAGAUCUUCUACUGAUAAUACUCAUGAUAAUUAAAGGCCAUGGCCACUGUGAUUAGCCUAGAUUCUUUCACACACAAAAAAAUAAAGCCAACUUCUACUGGCUUUUGGUCAGUUAGUACCUCAGUAAGCCAUAGUUCCAAAAGCCUUGUGUCAUGGUGGAAGCUGUCACCUCCCUCUGGGUGACAAUGAAGCACAGGCACAGUUCUACAUGACCUGAUUUGAUAUUACCAGGUGGUAACACACUAACAAAAUCCACAGGACAACUUGAUCUCACAGAUGCAUCUCUGCCUUGAUGGUAUAUAAAUUUAAAGUGAAGGGCAGCACUUCUUAAUUACUUACAUUGUUUAUUUUAAUGUAGCUUACAGCUUUCAUUUUUAAACCAGAAAUGGAAGGACAUAGUUUCUCUCAAGACAGCAGGUUUGUGUUUUUAAAAGAUUUUAAAUUAAUACAUGUAUUUACUCACUGUAGCAGAAAUGCUAAGUAAGUCACAGUCUGAACCAGUGACUGAGCACCCAGUGGGAAGGCAGGGCCAACACAGGGGAGCUCAGGUGCAUGCAAUGUACCUGAGUGAGCAGAAGGGGUGGAGCCAGGAUCCACCCCUUCCCAAACCUCAUUUAAGGGUUGGCAGUGGAGGUAGGGAUUUUUUGCUGGAGAUCCCUGCCUCCCAGAGGUCUUCUGAAGUCGGAUUGAUUCGGUGUCUGAAUACACAUUGUACCAUGAGGAUCCUCUUACCCUGAGCCAAAGUCUGUCAAAGUCAAUUCCAACAGCUGAUGAGGCCCUUCAGGAUAGGUCAGUUUUUUCCUUGAAAUCCCAUCAUGGCAACUUCUGCAUUUGAUGAGUAUUACCAGCACAGAUAGACGCACCAUGGAGGGAAUCCCAGCCACACAGAAAAAAUGUGUACACAGUCAUCACUAUCUUUGGAUUCACCUCUGCAAGAUCUGGAAGAGCACACACUCAGGAAGCAGUUCUUCUUGCCAUGGAUACAGCAUCCCCAUUUGCCAUGGAAAGAGGACUUUGUUGGCUUUUGGACUGGUACCCAAAACUGGCACAUUAGCUCUGCCCCUGCCCACCAUAAUUUCACCUAAUACCCUCUUUACUAAGAUUCAGUCUUCAAGAUGUGUAGCAGUCCUGUCACACCAGUUUUAUGCAUGCAUUUUGAUCUUUCCACAGCAGAGACAAGUGUCUUUAAUGUGUAAAUUCACCUUUGAAAUGUCAAGACCACUUUACCAACUGUUAAAAGUUGUAAUUAAUAUUUGUAAGGGCUAAUAGCUAGCAUGCAUAAUCGAGGACUUAUCAGCUAACAUUUACAUUCUUCCUUCUGUUUGCAUUUUUAGAAAUAAUCAACUAAGACUAUUAUUGACCUGAAAACUGCCUGUCAUUCUGCUACUACAUAAUAGUCACAGAAUACACAUUUCAAAGCCACGGUUUAACAGAAAUACUUAAAACCUGACAACUUAUGAUGAUUCAACAAGAUGAGAAAAAGACAAGGGCUCAAUCUCCAAACCCUGAUCAGUGGGUGAGCAUUUCAUAAGCCUGAGCAAACAGGAGAGAUCAUUGCGAAGAAGUGCUUGAGUUGAUUUGCAUUGCUCUCAAUUAGGGAAGGUAGUCCAGCCAACCACUACUCCAGCAUUACUGACAAGGACAACAAUUUGAUUUCUAGAAGCACUACCUGACUGAAAGAUUCUGUGAUUAGGAACUGCCACUCCUUUUGGACACAAAAGGGGAAUCUUCACCUUGAAGUUCUGGGAUGCAGGUGGACUUGCUAGAUUCUUUCAGGGUCCAGUUCACUACAGUGUCAUCACUGACUUGCUGAGCAUCACCCAGGUCCUUGAAGACAUUCAGCAUGUACCUGAACAGUGGCAGAGAAAACAAGAUUUGGCUCAGAUCCUGGGCUAAGACCCAGCAAGCACACAGCCUGGAGGGAACAUGAACUCAUAGCAACACGCAAAGUCUUCAUGUAGUCUCAGCUCUGCUUUUUUUUUUUUUUUUUAAUUAUUUUAUUUUUCACCCCUUCAGCAAAAAGGAAGAGCCAUCUAUUGUAUCUGUAGUGCAAUUUCUGUUAAAUCAUUUAACCUCUAAUUCCUCUCACUUCGUUUCAUAUUCAGACAUUACUAGUGGACUGGAAAUUAUUCAGCCUGUAAAUACCAAGUUAAAAUAGAAAGAAUAACACUGCUUCUCCCUUGUUUGAGGGGAUUGCACUGGUUGUGCAAAUGCAGGGUGUGGAAAACACUGCCUAGUGGAUGAACUAGGGAGUAUUCUAGGUUACAUGACACUUAUUACUUUGCACAAGAAACUGGUAUUAGGCAGAGAGAAUGGCGUUGAAUCCUCUUGUUGAAGGAAAUAUUGGAUGACUUUAGCUUUGAAGAGCUUUCUUCCCUUGGCUGUAAGUGAGCGAACUAGAAAAAGCCACAGUAAAUCUUUCUAUUGCUGGGGAACAAAUGAGAAACUGUACUACAGAGAGUAUGGAAAAAGAAAAGCAAGCCCUUAUGACCUUAAGAACAUAAUAAAGAUGGUCAGGCCAGAGGAAGUCUGGGCAAAAACAAGGGACUGUGGAAGUUGCCUGUCAUGAUGACUAGUGGGAAGUAGAACAUGCACGAAGAAAAUGAGACAAUAGCUGGAAAUAUGUAGACACUGCUAAGACUAACCUUGAGCCACAUCCUUAUUUAGGGACUAACAACAAUUGAUGUUUAAUAUUCUAGUCCAAUGGCAAUGUUUUCCCUUAUCUUAGAGAAUCUGUUAUUCAUUUGUUUGAAUGCAUGUAAGCAUACAAACCUAAAGACAGGAUUGGGUUUAGCCUCGAGGCUUCUUCACAAGUAUAUGUUCUCAACAGACAGCAAAUGCUAAAGCUAGAAUUGUUUCAGAGUCUGCUUUGACACUUUCCACAUGACUCUUCUAGCAUGUUCCAGUCAUCAAACAACAUAUACAACCUUCAGUCAUCUUCUAAGUGACCUAUUUAGGAGCAAUUUCAGCAUGAAUAUAAAUUCAGUGAAAAUGUAAAUAUGCAUUCAACAGUUGCUGGAUGAAAUGGUGGGUGGUGAGAAGAAAGGGAGUUUCCAUCUGUCUAGCCUUACAGGGUGAGUGUAUUUUCACUUUGCAAGUGCUUUCUACUCAACAUAUAUGUGAUAUAUGAGAAGACCAAGAUGUGCUGUACUUGGGUAUAUGGAGAUAAAAAGAAACAUCCCUCAGUUGUAAGAUGUAUGUAGCUAUGAACUAAUACCUCUUUUUUGCUGUUUAAUGCGCUGUUAAAAACAACACUAGCUGCCUCCCUUACAUUCAGCCAAGAUCCUGUUGUGCUCAGAGCUCUCUGCUGACUUAAAUUUUGAGUUGCUCUGACUUAAUCUGAAUUUCACUAGAAGUAUAUUAGAAAAAGUGUUUUUGUCGUCUUUGAGUAUCUGGAGAAAUAUAACCCUAGCAAGAGUCGUCCUGGUAUCCAGAACAGUGUAACAGGAUGUGGUGUCUAACACGCAGGGCUGUACAUGAGCAUCAGCGCUCAAAAUCUUGCCAAGAAUUUAGUUUUCUAGAUGCCAGUCCAAUAUUAGCCAACACAAAACUUGACAGUGGAAAAGAGACAAGCAAAGCUGUUCAUUCAUUACAGAAUAGCUUAGGCCAGGUAAAGCUGGGAAAAAUAUAAAAUGUAAAAUAAUAAAAAAAUUGCAGUGGCAGGUGUGUCAAUUAGGAGCUAAUUAUCUUCUGUUAGUAAGUGAUAUACAGAUGUUCUGAGCCUUACAAAAAGAAACAGAAAUUCCAGAGGUGACAGCAUUUUGACUUUGUUGAAGAAUCUCUGUGUUGAAAAAUCUACUGUCUGUUGUAGUUAAGUCUAUUAGUUUCAUUUGUGGGCUUUUUUUUUUCUUUUUUUUUUUUUUU
rnacentral:lncRNA from 1 species